UAUAAAUAUAAGUGUGCCACCACUAGAGUACCUUCAAAUUUUCAAACCGCUGACUUCAUACACUCAAACCUGGAAAAUGAGGUCAGUAGCAGUAACGGUUGAGCAAUUGAAUAAUGACUUGAAGUUUGGAAAUAUGGUUGUCAAAUUUUCUACAUUCGAGUUCGACUGUUGCAAGGUGAUUGUAACACCGUUUACCGUCGAAUUAGAGUGCAGUUCAACUAUCGUUGAAAUGAUAUUUACUGAAUUUCGAUGAUAUUAAAUUUACCGAUUGAGCGAAUGUGAGACCGUCCAGUAUCGUCGAAUUUGAAUCUGGUUCGGGUGUCGUAGAUUUGACGAUGUGAGAUCAUAAUUUAGUAACGUGUGGGAUGAGUAUUCGACGGUCUUGCAAUCGCUCGAUGGGAGAAUUUCAUAUCAUUAAAUUCAGUACGUAUUAAUUCAACGAUAAUCGAGCCGGGGACGAAAUUCGACGGUAAACUGUGAAAUAAUCGCACUCGAUUGUUGAAAAUUAAACAAACAUAUUCGAACCGACGAACCAGAAUUUUUACAUUUACAAUUGUGGUUUCAAUAUUUGAUGUAAGUUAUUUGAAAAAUUGAAUAAAAAUUAAAAAUACUGUCUACGUCUCGUCGGGCAGAUGUCGCUUUCCAUCGGUCUGUCACUUUUUUAACGAGGAAAAGACACAUCCUUAUUCCACGUUAUCGGAUUUCCUCGUAUCGUACAGAUAAUUUCUGAAUAAUACACGCACAUUGAAUAAGUUGUUGGUUAUCAUUAUUAUUAUUGUUUUUUUUUUAUCGCUUCCACUGAAAUCAUUCGCAGUACGAACCAGUAUGUUAAUUAUUUAUAAUUACUUUUUUGUGAUUAAGUGUAGUUAUGAAUAUACAUUAAAUUUGCUAAAAUAAU